AGUGGCGAACGGGUGAGUAAUGCAUCGGAACGUACCGUGUAGUGGGGGAUAACGUAGCGAAAGUUACGCUAAUACCGCAUACGCCCUGAGGGGGAAAGUGGGGGACCGCAAGGCCUCACGCUAUAUGAGCGGCCGAUGUCGGAUUAGCUAGUUGGUAGGGUAAAGGCCUACCAAGGCGACGAUCCGUAGCGGGUCUGAGAGGAUGAUCCGCCACACUGGGACUGAGACACGGCCCACACUCCUACGGGAGGCAGCAGUGGGGAAUUUUGGACAAUGGGCGCAAGCCUGAUCCAGCCAUGCCGCGUGAGUGAAGAAGGCCUUCGGGUUGUAAAGCUCUUUCAGACGGAAAGAAAUCUCUCGGGAUAACACCCUGGGAGGAUGACGGUACCGUAAAAAGAAGCACCGGCUAACUACGUGCCAGCAGCCGCGGUAAUACGUAGGGUGCGAGCGUUAAUCGGAAUUACUGGGCGUAAAGCGUGCGCAGGCGGUGAUGUAAGACAGAUGUGAAAUCCCCGGGCUCAACCUGGGAACUGCAUUAGUGACUGCAUAGCUGGAGUACGGCAGAGGGGGAUGGAAUUCCGCGUGUAGCAGUGAAAUGCGUAGAUAUGCGGAGGGACACCGAUGGCGAAGGCAAUCCCCUGGGUCUGUACUGACGCUCAUGCACGAAGCGUGG
rnacentral:rRNA from 1 species